UACGUAGGGUGCGAGCGUUAAUCGGAAUUACUGGGCGUAAAGCGUGCGCAGGCGGUUCGCCAAGUCAGGUGUGAAAUCCCCGGGCUUAACCUGGGAAUUGCGCUUGAAACUAGCGGGCUUGAGUGUGGCAGAGGGGGGUGGAAUUCCACGUGGAGCGGUGAAAUGCGUAGAGAUUUGGAGGAACACCAGUGGCGAAGGCGACUUUCUGGUCUGUAACUGACACUGAGGCGCGAAAGCGUGGGGAGCGAACAGG
rnacentral:rRNA from 1 species